GGGGAGGCGGCCUCCACAACUUAAUAUAUUUACAUGUCGGUAUCUAUAGAUAAAAGCAGUCUACAGAUAAAGGAUAAUUACCCCCGGUAUAUUAAAUGGACCAUUACACUACCGGUAUCAUUAAUAUAGCGUUUUCGGAAGAGGUUCCCCCUUGCUUUAGUUAAAUUACACGGUAUUAUGACCUUAUUGGCGGCGCAAAAGGGUUAACUAUAGGCUCGGCUGACACACACG